rnacentral:rRNA from 1 species
AUUGAACGCUGGCGGCAGGCCUAACACAUGCAAGUCGAACGAGUGGCGGACGGGUGAGUAAUGUCUGGGAAACUGCCUGAUGGAGGGGGAUAACUACUGGAAACGGUAGCUACUACCGCAUACCAUCAGAUGUGCCCAGAUGGGAUUAGCUAGGUGGUGGGGGAACGGCUCACCAAGGCGACGAUCCCUAGCUGGUCUGAGAGGAGGACCAGCCACACUGGAACUGGGAAACGGUCCAGACUCCUACGGGAGGCAGCAGUGGGGAAUAUUGCACAAUGGGCGCAAGCCUGAUGCAGCCAUGCCGCGGGUAUGAAGGAGGCCUUCGGGUUGGAAAGUACUUUCAGCGGGGAGGCGUUACCCGCAGAAGAAGCACCGGCUAACUCCGUGCCAGCAGCCGCGGUAAUAC